AUGCGAAAGCAGUUGAAGACAAGUUCGAAAAGAGUUUGGAAACGAAUUCGAGUAGGCUUGUCGUUCGUUAUGUUUUUGUAAAUGGCCUCGUCAAACGGUGGAGAGAGUCGCUAGGUGAUCGUCAGAUCUGCCUAGUCUCUAUACAGCGUGUUUAAUUGACAUGGGUUGAUGCGUAUUGAGAGAUACAAUUUGGGAAGAAAUUCCCAGAGUGUGUUUCUUUUGCGUUUAACCUGAACAGUCUCAUCGUGGGCAUCUUGCGAUUCCAUUGGUGAGCAGCGAAGGAUUUGGUGGAUUACUAGCUAAUAGCAAUCUAUUUCAAAGAAUUCAAACUUGGGGGAAUGCCUUGUUGAAUAGCCGGUCGCAAGACUGUGAUUCUUCAAGUGUAACCUCCUCUCAAAUCAGCGAUAUCAAACGUACCAUUCCGUGAAACACCGGGGUAUCUGUUUGGUGGAACCUGAUUAGAGGAAACUCAAAGAGUGCUAUGGUAUGGUGACGGAGUGCGCUGGUCAAGAGUGUAAAAGCUUUUUGAACAGAGAGCAUUUCCGGCAGCAGAGAGACCUGAAAAAGCAAUUUUUCUGGAAUUUCAGCUGUUUCCAAACUCAAUAAGUAUCUUCUAGCAAGAGGGAAUGGGUGGGAAAAAAAAAAGAGAUUUCGGUUUCUUUCUUUUUUACUGCUUGUUGCUUCUUCUUUUAAGAUAGUUAUCUGGUUGAUCCUGCCAGUAGUCAUAUGCUUGUCUCAAAGAUUAAGCCAUGCAUGUCUAAGUAUAAGCAAUUUAUACAGUGAAACUGCGAAUGGCUCAUUAAAUCAGUUAUCGUUUAUUUGAUAGUUCCUUUACUACAUGGUAUAACUGUGGUAAUUCUAGAGCUAAUACAUGCUUAAAAUCUCGACCCUUUGGAAGAGAUGUAUUUAUUAGAUAAAAAAUCAAUGUCUUCGGACUCUUUGAUGAUUCAUAAUAACUUUUCGAAUCGCAUGGCCUUGUGCUGGCGAUGGUUCAUUCAAAUUUCUGCCCUAUCAACUUUCGAUGGUAGGAUAGUGGCCUACCAUGGUUUCAACGGGUAACGGGGAAUAAGGGUUCGAUUCCGGAGAGGGAGCCUGAGAAACGGCUACCACAUCCAAGGAAGGCAGCAGGCGCGCAAAUUACCCAAUCCUAAUUCAGGGAGGUAGUGACAAUAAAUAACGAUACAGGGCCCAUUCGGGUCUUGUAAUUGGAAUGAGUACAAUGUAAAUACCUUAACGAGGAACAAUUGGAGGGCAAGUCUGGUGCCAGCAGCCGCGGUAAUUCCAGCUCCAAUAGCGUAUAUUAAAGUUGUUGCAGUUAAAAAGCUCGUAGUUGAACUUUGGGCCCGGUUGGCCGGUCCGAUUUUUUCGUGUACUGGAUUUCCAACGGGGCCUUUCCUUCUGGCUAACCUUGAGUCCUUGUGGCUCUUGGCGAACCGGGACUUUUACUUUGAAAAAAUUAGAGUGUUCAAAGCAGGCGUAUUGCUCGAAUAUAUUAGCAUGGAAUAAUAGAAUAGGACGUUUGGUUCUAUUUUGUUGGUUUCUAGGACCAUCGUAAUGAUUAAUAGGGACGGUCGGGGGCAUCAGUAUUCAAUUGUCAGAGGUGAAAUUCUUGGAUUUAUUGAAGACUAACUACUGCGAAAGCAUUUGCCAAGGACGUUUUCAUUAAUCAAGAACGAAAGUUAGGGGAUCGAAGAUGAUCAGAUACCGUCGUAGUCUUAACCAUAAACUAUGCCGACUAGGGAUCGGGUGGUGUUUUUUUAAUGACCCACUCGGCACCUUACGAGAAAUCAAAGUCUUUGGGUUCUGGGGGGAGUAUGGUCGCAAGGCUGAAACUUAAAGGAAUUGACGGAAGGGCACCACCAGGAGUGGAGCCUGCGGCUUAAUUUGACUCAACACGGGGAAACUCACCAGGUCCAGACACAAUAAGGAUUGACAGAUUGAGAGCUCUUUCUUGAUUUUGUGGGUGGUGGUGCAUGGCCGUUCUUAGUUGGUGGAGUGAUUUGUCUGCUUAAUUGCGAUAACGAACGAGACCUUAACCUACUAAAUAGUGGUGCUAGCAUUUGCUGGUUAUCCACUUCUUAGAGGGACUAUCGGUUUCAAGCCGAUGGAAGUUUGAGGCAAUAACAGGUCUGUGAUGCCCUUAGACGUUCUGGGCCGCACGCGCGCUACACUGACGGAGCCAGCGAGUCUAACCUUGGCCGAGAGGUCUUGGUAAUCUUGUGAAACUCCGUCGUGCUGGGGAUAGAGCAUUGUAAUUAUUGCUCUUCAACGAGGAAUUCCUAGUAAGCGCAAGUCAUCAGCUUGCGUUGAUUACGUCCCUGCCCUUUGUACACACCGCCCGUCGCUAGUACCGAUUGAAUGGCUUAGUGAGGCCUCAGGAUCUGCUUAGAGAAGGGGGCAACUCCAUCUCAGAGCGGAGAAUUUGGACAAACUUGGUCAUUUAGAGGAACUAAAAGUCGUAACAAGGUUUCCGUAGGUGAACCUGCGGAAGGAUCAUUAA
rnacentral:rRNA from 1 species